CUGGAUUCGAACCCGAGAUAAUCAAACCAUGAAGGUUCGAGCCGGAGCCGGCGCAGCCGGCGGAGACAGCGUCAUCGCACAGCGAUGACGACCCGCAGGGCGAGGUGCGCAGCACCGAGUAAUCCCUCUCUCUCCGCCA
rnacentral:sRNA from 1 species